GUCCACGCCGUAAACGAUGGAUACUAGCUGUUGGGCGCAAGCUCAGUGGCUAAGCGAAAGUGAUAAGUAUCCCACCUGGGGAGUACGUUCGCAAGAAUGAAACUCAAAGGAAUUGACGGGGGCCCCGCACAAGCGGUGGAGCAUGUGGUUUAAUUCGAUGAUACGCGAGGAACCUUACCAAGGCUUAAAUGCAGACUGACCGAUUUGGAAACAGAUCUUUCGCAAGACAGUUUACAAGGUGCUGCAUGGUUGUCGU
rnacentral:rRNA from 1 species